rnacentral:misc_RNA from 1 species
UCACCCCUCAAGCAUCUGGCUUGGUGUUGGAUAGGCUUGGUUGGGCGACAGUCUAACCCCUCUCAAAGGCAAUGACGCUGGUCGCGUAUGAUCCCCGGUACACGGAGCUUUAAUCAAGCACGUAUCGGAUCUCUAGGGUCGACGGGCCUCGGUCGAUUUACAUCCUUUCUUCAA